rnacentral:rRNA from 1 species
GACGAACGCUGGCGGCGUGCUUAACACAUGCAAGUCGAACGGUGAACUCCGCUUGCGGGGGGAUCAGUGGCGAACGGGUGAGUAACACGUGGGCAACCUGCCCUCAGCUCUGGGAUAACUCCAAGAAAUUGGGGCUAAUACCGGAUAUGACCGCUGACCGCAUGGUCUGGUGGUGGAAAGAUUUAUCGGCUGGGGAUGGGCCCGCGGCCUAUCAGCUUGUUGGUGGGGUAGUGGCCUACCAAGGCGAGGACGGGUAGCCGGCCUGAGAGGGUGACCGGCCACACUGGGACUGAGACACGGCCCAGACUCCUACGGGAGGCAGCAGUGGGGAAUAUUGCGCAAUGGGCGAAAGCCUGACGCAGCGACGCCGCGUGGGGGAUGACGGCCUUCGGGUUGUAAACCUCUUUCAGCAGGGACGAAGCGAAAGUGACGGUACCUGCAGAAGAAGCACCGGCCAACUACGUG